rfam:Macrophomina phaseolina MS6 contig01070, whole genome shotgun sequence.
GUCUCUAUAGCUUAAUGGUAAAGCAGGAUACUGUUAAUAUCAAGAAGAAAGUUCAAUUCUUUCUAGAGACU